CNACUUACCUAUCAGAGGGGGAUAGCCCGGCGAAAGUCGGAUUAAUACCCCAUAAAACAGGGGUCCCGCAUGGAAUAUUUGUUAAAGAUUCNUCGCUGAUAGAUAGGCAUGCGUUCCAUUAGGCAGUUGGCGGGGUAACGGCCCACCAAACCGACGAUGGAUAGGGGUUCUGAGAGGAAGGUCCCCCNNAUUGGUACUGAGACACGGACCAAACUCCUACGGGAGGCAGCAGUGAGGAAUAUUGGUCAAUGGCCGAGAGGCUGAACCAGCCAAGUCGCGUGAAGGAAGAAGGAUCUAUGGUUUGUAAACUUCUUUUAUAGGGGAAUAAAGUGGAGGACGUGUCCUUUUUUGUAUGUACCCUAUGAAUAAGCAUCGGCUAACUCCGUGCCAGCAGCCGCGGUAAUACGGAGGAUGCGAGCGUUAUCCGGAUUUAUUGGGUUUAAAGGGUGCGUAGGUGGUGAUUUAAGUCAGCGGUGAAAGCUUGUGGCUCNACCAUAAAAUUGCCGUUGAAACUGGGUUACUUGAGUGUGUUUGAGGUAGGCGGAAUGCGUGGUGUAGCGGUGAAAUGCAUAGAUGUCNCGAAGAACUCCNAUUG
rnacentral:rRNA from 1 species